rnacentral:rRNA from 1 species
UAAGAAAGUAAGAUCCCUGAGAGAUGAUCAGGUAGAUAGGUCAGGAGUGGAAGUACAGUGAUGUAUGGAGCGGACUGAUACUAAUCGAUCGAGGACUUAACCAAUU